rnacentral:tRNA from 1 species
GGACAAACUGCUAUUGGCGAGGUGUGGGCGAUUGCUAAUUGUCUGGGUUAUUACCCUUAGGAGUUCGAAUCUCCUUUUGUCCU